rnacentral:rRNA from 1 species
AGAGUUUGAUCCUGGCUCAGGAUGAACGCUAGCGGGAGGCCUAACACAUGCAAGCCGAGCGGUAGAGAUCUUUCGGGAUCUUGAGAGCGGCGUACGGGUGCGGAACACGUGUGCAACCUGCCUUUAUCUGGGGGAUAGCCUUUCGAAAGGAAGAUUAAUACCCCAUAAUAUGUUGGAUGGCAUCAUUCGACAUUGAAAACUCCGGUGGAUAGAGAUGGGCACGCGCAAGAUUAGAUAGUUGGUGAGGUAACGGCUCACCAAGUCUGCGAUCUUUAGGGGGCCUGAGAGGGUGAUCCCCCACACUGGUACUGAGACACGGACCAGACUCCUACGGGAGGCAGCAGUGAGGAAUAUUGGACAAUGGGUGAGAGCCUGAUCCAGCCAUCCCGCGUGAAGGACGACGGCCCUAUGGGUUGUAAACUUCUUUUGUAUAGGGAUAAACCUACUCUCGUGAGAGUAGCUGAAGGUACUAUACGAAUAAGCACCGGCUAACUCCGUGCCAGCAGCCGCGGUAAUACGGAGGGUGCAAGCGUUAUCCGGAUUUAUUGGGUUUAAAGGGUCCGUAGGCGGAUCUGUAAGUCAGUGGUGAAAUCUCACAGCUUAACUGUGAGACUGCCAUUGAUACUGCAGGUCUUGAGUGUUGUUGAAGUAGCUGGAAUAAGUAGUGUAGCGGUGAAAUGCAUAGAUAUUACUUAGAACACCAAUUGCGAAGGCAGGUUACUAAGCACCACUGACGCUGAUGGACGAAAGCGUGGGGAGCGAACAGGAUUAGAUACCCU